CACGCCUGUCAAACAAGAGAGCGGUAAAUUCAAGCCGUGUCAAGGAGGAAGACAGAUGAUCGCCUGCUUAGCUCCGCACCCUGCGGCUAGACAGAAAAGUCAAGGUAAUUAAGGCCCUCAGCAACGCUCUCCUCAACGCCACUGCACCCCGCAGAUCACUCAGCAGGAAACCGUAACAGCCGGUUCAGUCAAAGACCGCUGGCUACUGCUCUUUGACGUGCCCUGACCAGACCUGACAGACUCAGUGUGCAGUCUGGAAACGAACAUGGUGAGGUUCAUCUCUAAAGAGUCGCCUGAGAUCAUGGUGGAUUAUGUCAGGAGGUCUGAGGAGUGACUGCUGCAGCGCCUGGGGGAAAACUCUUAACACCGGUUGCUGUGAGCUUUGGCGUCCUGUAUUUCCUACAAGUGGUUCUCAACAUUUCCCUGCACCUUGCUAUCUACACUUCUGACAGGAAGACCACGAUCAAUCUGACUGACUUUG